rnacentral:rRNA from 1 species
CAGUGGCGAACGGGUGAGUAACACGUGGGGAAUCUGCCCUGAACUCUGGGACAAGCCUUGGAAACGAGGUCUAAUACCGGAUACGACCUUCUCCUGCAUGGGGGUUGGUGGAAAGCUCCGGCGGUUCAGGAUGAUCCCGCGGCCUAUCAGCUUGUUGGUGGGGUAAUGGCCUACCAAGGCGACGACGGGUAGCCGGCCUGAGAGGGCGACCGGCCACACUGGGACUGAGACACGGCCCAGACUCCUACGGGAGGCAGCAGUGGGGAAUAUUGCACAAUGGGCGAAAGCCUGAUGCAGCGACGCCGCGUGAGGGAUGACGGCCUUCGGGUUGUAAACCUCUUUCAGCAGGGAAGAAGCGCAAGUGACGGUACCUGCAGAAGAAGCACCGGCUAACUACGUGCCAGCAGCCGCGGUAAUACGUAGGGUGCGAGCGUUGUCCGGAAUUAUUGGGCGUAAAGAGCUCGUAGGCGGNCUGUCGCGUCGGAUGUGAAAGCCCGGGGCUUAACCCCGNGUCUGCAUUCGAUACGGGCAGGCUAGAGUGUGNNAGGGGGAGAUNGGAAUUCCU